rfam:Dipodomys ordii contig_49606, whole genome shotgun sequence.
GUAGGUUUUUGCUCAUGCACCAUGGUUGUCUGAGCACGCAGCAUGUUUGUCUGCUCAUACGCCAUGGUUCCUGAGCAGGAACCUUA